AUGCAGCCGCCAUCGCUCCACCAGCCGCCGCCGCCGGCCACGCCGCGCGGCCGAAAGGGACGAGCCAGCAGGAGGAGAGACCGGACGUGGCACGUCACGGUGUUCAACCACAUGCCGGUGCCGUGGGAGAGGGACUGGGCGGACCUUCCCCAGGACGCGAUCUCCUGCAUCCUCCGCAAGCUGGACCAGGUGGAGCUCCUGCUGGGCGGCGCCGCGGCGGUGUGCCGCUCCUGGCGCCGCAUCGCGCGGCACGAGCCCGAGCUGUGGCGCUGCAUCGACGCGCGCGACCUGCCGGCCGUUCCGCCCUUCGGCUGGCAGGCCGUCCGCACCAAUCUUGUGCGCUCCGCCCUGCGGCUCAGCGCCGGGCAGUGCGAGGUCUUCGCCGCCGAGCUCUUCGACGAUGACCUGUUCCUCUUCCUCGGCGAGCAGGCACCCUUAUUAAAGAGGCUCUAUCUCAUCAAGUGUUAUUACGUCUCAAAGAAAGUAUUUGCAAAGGUUAUGCGCAAGUUCCCUCUCCUUGAAGAGCUCGAGCUUUCGAUGUGGUUUGGUAGCACAGAAAUGCUCGAGAUCGUCGCUGAAGCCUGCCCACGCCUGAAGCACUUCAGUCUCAUAAAAAAAGAUCGUUUUUACAAACCUGCAGAUGAUGGUAAUGCUUUCGCGAUUGCGAAGAUGCACGAGCUACGUUCCUUGUAUCUCGACAGCAACAGACUCACCCACAAAGGGCUGACAGUGAUCCUUGAUGGCUGUCCCCACCUAGAGCACCUUAACGUUUUCGAAUGUAAGUAUCUCAAGAUGGAUGAUGACCUGCUGGAGAAGUGUUCUCGAGUUAACAUGGCUGGCCCUCGGUACUCUUUGCCAUAUCUGCCUUGCAGUUGCUGUUGGAGUCCCGACUAUCCAAAUCACGAGGAUUAUGAGGAUUACCGUGAGGAUUCUUAUUACUACAUCGGUGAUCACAUCGACGAUGAUGAUCUUGCAGAACACGAGAGGCUUCUUGACGUCAAGGGCAUGCGGAGGUACUUGCCCUAG
rnacentral:rRNA from 1 species